rnacentral:rRNA from 1 species
UGCCAGCCGCCGCGGUAAUACGGAGGGUGCAAGCGUUGUCCGGAUUCACUGGGUGUAAAGGGUGUGCAGGCGGAGCAGACAGUCAGUGGUGAAAGCCCGUAGCUUAACUAUGGAACUGCCAUUGAUACUACUGCUCUUGAGUAUUGGAGAGGCUACUAGAAUUCGUGGUGUAGCGGUGAAAUGCGUAGAUAUCAGGAGGAACACCGAUGGCGAAGGCAUCUCUCUGGGCCGAUAUUGACGCUGAGGCGCGAAUGCGUGGGUAGCGAACGGGAUUAGAUA